AAUGGGGUGCCUUAGUGGCUGAGAUGAUACCCAGGAAGUUUUUUCCGCACCUGAUCCGGAUAAUGCCGGCGUAGGGAUCUGU
rnacentral:ncRNA from 1 species